AAUCUUGCUAGUGUAUGCAAUGGUGUCA
rnacentral:piRNA from 1 species